rnacentral:rRNA from 1 species
UACGUAGGGGGCUAGCGUUGUUCGGAAUUACUGGGCGUAAAGGGCUCGUAGGCGGCCAACUAAGUCAGACGUGAAAUCCCUCGGCUUAACCGGGGAACUGCAUCUGAUACUGGAUGGCUUGAGAUUGGGAGAGGGAUGCGGAAUUCCAGGUGUAGCGGUGAAAUGCGUAGAUAUCUGGAGGAACACCGGUGGCGAAGGCGGCAUCCUGGACCAACACUGACGCUGAGGAGCGAAAGCCAGGGGAGCAAACGGG